AGAGUUUGAUCCUGGCUCAGGAUGAACGCUAGCGGCAGGCUUAACACAUGCAAGUCGAGGGGUAGAAGUCUUCGGGCUUUGAGACCGGCGCACGGGUGCGUAACGCGUAUGCAAUCUACCUUUUACAGGGGAAUAGCCCAGAGAAAUUUGGAUUAAUGCCCCAUGGUAUUAUAAAAUGGCAUCAUUUUAUGAUUAAAGUUCCAACGGUGAAAGAUGAGCAUGCGUCCCAUUAGUUAGUUGGUAAGGUAACGGCUUACCAAGACAAUGAUGGGUAGGGGUCCUGAGAGGGAGAUCCCCCACACUGGUACUGAGACACGGACCAGACUCCUACGGGAGGCAGCAGUGAGGAAUAUUGGACAAUGGGCGCAAGCCUGAUCCAGCCAUGCCGCGUGCAGGAAGACGGUCCUAUGGAUUGUAAACUGCUUUUAUACAGGAAGAAACACUCUCUCGUGAGAGAGCUUGACGGUACUGUAGGAAUAAGGAUCGGCUAACUCCGUGCCAGCAGCCGCGGUAAUACGGAGGAUCCAA
rnacentral:rRNA from 1 species